rnacentral:rRNA from 1 species
GACGAACGCUGGCGGCGUGCCUAAUACAUGCAAGUCGAACGCAGUGGGGACGGGUGAGUAACACGUGGGUAACCUCCCAUCAGAGGGGAUAACACUUGGAAACAGGUGCUAAACCGAUACUGAUGGAUGAACCCGCGGUGCAUUAGCUAGUUGGUGAGGUAACGGCUCACCAAGGCCACGAUGCAUAGCCGACCUCAUGGGAUGAUCUGCCUCACUGGGACUGCGCACCUGCCCAGACUCCUACGGGAGGCAGCAGUGGGGAAUAUUCCACAAUGGGCUCAAGCCUGAUGCAGCCAUGCCGCGUGUAUGAAGAAGGCCUUAGGGUUGUAAAGUACUUUCAGCGGGGAGGCGUUACCCGCAGAAGAAGCACCGGCUAACUCCGUGCCAGCAGCCGCGGUAAUUC